GAAUAUUGGGCAAUGGGCGAAAGCCUGACCCAGCGACGCCGCGUGGGCGAUGAAGGCCUUCGGGUUGUAAAGCCCUGUCAUGCGGAAAGAACGACCCUGUGACGCAUACUCACAGGGAGUGACGGUACCGCAGGGGGAAGCACCGGCUAACUCCGUGCCAGCAGCCGCGGUAAUACGGAGGGUGCAAGCGUUGCUCGGAAUUAUUGGGCGUAAAGGGCGCGUAGGCGGUAAUGUAAGUCAGAUGUGAAAUACUUCGGCUCAACUGAAGAGCUGCAUCUGAAACUGCAUAACUAGAGUACAGAAGAGGGAAACGGAAUUCCCGGUGUAGAGGUGAAAUUCGUAGAUAUCGGGAGGAACACCAGUGGCGAAGGCGGUUUCCUGGUCUGAUACUGACGCUGAGGCGCGAAAG
rnacentral:rRNA from 1 species